AGAGUUUGAUCCUGGCUCAGGAUGAACGCUGGCGGCGUGCUUAACACAUGCAAGUCGAACGAAGCACCUGAGAAUGAUUCUUCGGAUGAAGUCUCUUGUGACUGAGUGGCGGACGGGUGAGUAACGCGUGGGUAACCUGCCUCACACAGGGGGAUAACAGUUGGAAACGACCGCUAAUACCGCAUAACCCGCUGGUGCCGCAUGGCACUGACGGAAAAGAUUUUAUCGGUGUGAGAUGGACCCGCGUCUGAUUAGCCAGUUGGCAGGGUAACGGCCUACCAAAGCGACGAUCAGUAGCCGGCCUGAGAGGGUGAACGGCCACAUUGGGACUGAGACACGGCCCAGACUCCUGCGGGAGGCAGCAGUGGGGAAUAUUGCACAAUGGGGGAAACCCUGAUGCAGCGACGCCGCGUGAGUGAAGAAGUAUUUCGGUAUGUAAAGCUCUAUCAGCAGGGAAGAAAAUGACGGUACCUGAUUAAGAAGCCCCGGCUAACUACGUGCCAGCAGCCGCGGUAAUACGUAGGGGGCAAGCGUUAUCCGGAUUUACUGGGUGUAAAGGGAGCGUAGACGGUGAUGCAAGUCAGAAGUGAAAGCCCGGGGCUCAACUCCGGGACUGCUUUUGAAACUGUGUGGCUGGAGUGCAGGAGAGGUAAGCGGAAUUCCUGGUGUAGCGGUGAAAUGCGUAGAUAUCAGGAGGAACACCAGUGGCGAAGGCGGCUUACUGGACUGUAACUGACGUUGAGGCUCGAAAGCGUGGGGAGCAAACCAGGAUUAGAUACCCUGGUAGUCCAUGCCGUAAACGAUGAGUGAUAAGUGUUGGGAGGUUUCCGCCUCUCAGUGGUGCGAGCGGACGCAUAAGCACUCCGCCUGGGGAGUACGACCGCAAGGUUGAAACUCAAAGGAAAUGACGGGGGCCCGCGCAAGCGGUGGAGCAUGUGGUUUAAUUGGAAGCAACGCGAAGAACCUUUCCAGGUCUUGACAUCCAGUGCAAACCUAAGAGAUUAGGUGUUCCCUUCGGGGACGGUGAGACAGGUGGUGCAUGGCUGUCGUCAGCUCGUGUCGUGAGAUGUUGGGUUAAGUCCCGCAACGAGCGCAACCCUUGUCAUUAGUUGCCAUCAUUAAGUUGGGCACUCUAAUGAGACUGCCGGUGACAAACCGGAGGAAGGUGGGGAUGACGUCAAGUCAUCAUGCCCCUUAUGACCUGGGCUACACACGUGCUACAAUGGACGGUACAACGAGAAGCGAACCUGCGAAGGCAAGCGGAUCUCUUAAAGCUGUUCUCAGUUCGGACUGUAGGCUGCAACUCGCCUACACGAAGCUGGAAUCGCUAGUAAUCGCGGAUCAGCACGCCGCGGUGAAAAGGUUCCCGGGCCUUGUACA
rnacentral:rRNA from 1 species